CACGUAGGACGCAAGCGUUAUCCGGAAUUACUGGGCGUAAAGAGCGUGUAGGUGGUUGCGUAAGUCAACCGUGAAAGCUCCCGGCUAAACUGGGAGAGGUCGGAUGAGACUGCGUGGCUAGAGGGUCGUAGAGGAAUGUGGAAUUCCGGGUGUAGUGGUGAAAUGCGUAGAGAUCCGGAGGAACACCAGAGGCGAAGGCGGCAUUCUGGACGACAACUGACACUGAGACGCGACAGCACGGGGAGCGAACGGG
rnacentral:rRNA from 1 species